UUUGAUAUGCAUAAAGUAUGCAUUUAGCAUAGGGACCGAAGCGACACGCGUUGGCGAUUCGGUCACUAUCCGUUAGUCAGGCCUCAACCGUCUGCUGUUAGAGUAAUGGUCGAUCGUUGCGUGAAGCCUAGGUUUCUCGUAAAAAAAAUUAGAGUCAGUGGAUUAGUCCGAUCGGGGGGAAACCACUUAAAACAAAAAUCGUGAAAAGUUCCACCUCAAAAGUUCUACUUUUCCCUAUUCUAUUCCUAUUCCUUUUAAUAUUUUCUUUGCAGGAUGAACUAUGAUGCCAAAUUCCGUCCAAGAGGAGGAGGAAACGAGUCCAAAGAGGAGUAAGUUAUGAUAACCAUUCCGUCCAAGAGAAGGGGAAACGAACCGUAGGAGGACUGAGUUAUAGUAAAUGUUUAUUGUUUCAUAUGACCAUUCCGUCCAAGAGGAAGGGGAAGUGGAUUAGAAGAUGACCAGAAAAGGACAGAGUUAUG
rnacentral:lncRNA from 1 species